rnacentral:rRNA from 1 species
GACGAACGCUGGCGGCGUGCCUAACACGUGCAAGUCGAGCGAAUGAAGUUCCUUCGGGAAUGGAUUUAGCGGCGGACGGGUGAGUAACACGUGGGCAACCUGCCUCAUAGAGGGGAAUAGCCUUCCGAAAGGGAGAUUAAUACCGCAUAAGAUUGUAGUACCGCAUGAUACAGCAAUUAAAGGAGCAAUCCGCUAUGAGAGGGGCCCGCGGAGCAUUAGCUGGUUGGUGAGGUAACGGCUCACCAAGGCGCCGAUGCGUAGCCGACCUGAGAGGGUGAUCGGCCACAUUGGGGCUGAGACACGGCCCAGACUCCUACGGGAGGCAGCAGUGGGGAAUAUUGCACAAUGGGGGAAACCCUGAUGCAGCAACGCCGCGUGAGUGAUGACGGCCUUCGGGUUGUAAGGCUCUGUCUUCAGGGACGAUAAUGACGGUACCUGAGAAGGAAGCCACGGCUAACUACGUGCCAGCCGCCGCCGUAAGAC